GGUCAGUGAUGAAUAGUAAAAGGUGUGAUUUGCCCAGAAUAUUGCUUCCCUUACCAUCUAACUCCCAGCAGUUACUCUUCCAUCAAGCUAUAGAAAUGCUAUGCGUGGGAGAAUAUUUGCUGAUAUAUUGUGAUAUAUUCAGCUUGUUUCCUUGUAGAGUAUUGAGUAGACUUGGCUGAAGUUGUUAUCCAACAUAAAACAAUAAAGGAGUUUUAAGUACUGGAGGCAAGUAGAUGGGUAUAUGAUCUCAGCUUUUUAAACUGAGACC
ensembl:scaRNA